rnacentral:misc_RNA from 1 species
UCCGGCUUAUCACCGGCAGUCCCACUAGAGUGCCCAACUUAAUGAUGGCAACUAAUGGCAAGGGUUGCGCUCGUUGCGGGACUUAACCCAACAUCUCACGACACGAGCUGACGACAGCCAUGCACCACCUGUGAAAGUGCCCCAAAGGGGAAACCACAUUUCUGCAGCGAUCCGGUCCAUGUCAAGCCUUGGUAAGGUUCUUCGCGUUGCAUCGAAUUAAACCACAUGCUCCACCGCUUGUGCGGGCCCCCGUCAAUUCCUUUGAGUUUCAGCCUUGCGGCCGUACUCCCCAGGCGGGGCACUUAUCGCGUUAGCUGCGGCACCGAAGGGGUCGCUCCCCCCGGCACCUAGUGCCCAUCGUUUACGGCGUGGACUAC